rnacentral:tRNA from 10 species
GCGGUUGUAGCUCAGUCGGUUAGAGUGCCGGCCUGUCACGCCGGAGGUCGCGGGUUCGAGCCCCGUCAACCGCGCCA